rnacentral:rRNA from 1 species
UGGGGAAUCUUGCACAAUGGGGGCAACCCUGAUGCAGCGACGCCGCGUGAGCGAUGAAGGUUUUCGAAUCGUAAAGCUCUGUCCUAUGGGAAGAUAAUGACGGUACCAUAGGAGGAAGCCCCGGCUAACUACGUGCCAGCAGCCGCGGUAAUACGUAGGGGGCGAGCGUUGUCCGGAAUUACUGGGCGUAAAUGGUUCGCAGGCGGCAUGGCAAGUCCGAUGUAAAAGGCGAAGGCUCAACCUUCGUAAGCAUCGGAAACUGUCAAGCUUGAGUGAAGGAGAGGCAAGUGGAAUUCCUAGUGUAGCGGUGGAAUGCGUAGAUAUUAGGAGGAAUACCGGUGGCGAAGGCGACUUGCUGGACUUCAACUGACGCUGAGGAACGAAAGCGUGGGUAGCAAACAGG